rnacentral:rRNA from 1 species
CUACGUGCCAGCAGCCGCGGUAAUACGUAGGUGGCAAGCGUUGUCCGGAAUUAUUGGGCGUAAAGCGCGCGCAGGCGGAUUGGUCAGUCUGUCUUAAAAGUUCGGGGCUUAACCCCGUGAUGGGAUGGAAACUGCCAAUCUAGAGUAUCGGAGAGGAAAGUGGAAUUCCUAGUGUAGCGGUGAAAUGCGUAGAUAUUAGGAAGAACACCAGUGGCGAAGGCGACUUUCUGGACGAAAACUGACGCUGAGGCGCGAAAGCCAGGGGAGCGAACGGGAUUAGAUACCCCGGUAGUCCUGGCCGUAAACGAUGGGUACUAGGUGUAGGAGGUAUCGACCCCUUCUGUGCCGGAGUUAACGCAAUAAGUACCCCGCCUGGGGAGUACGACCGCAAGGUUGAAACUCAAAGGAAUUGACGGGGGCCCGCACAAGCGGUGGAGUAUGUGGUUUAAUUCGACGCAACGCGAAGAACCUUACCAGGUCUUGACAUUGAUGGACAGAACUAGAGA